AGUUUGGCAACACCUCUUUGCUCUACUAUUUAAUGUAGGUAAAUCCAGUUUGCUUCCUAAAAAGUGAAGCAGGCUUUAAGUUGUGUUGAUGCAUCCCGUUCUCUUGCACAAGAAGAUUAAAAAAAAUAAUACGGCCAUUAGUAAAUUAGUAUUUAAAUGUUGAAAUCUUAAAGGCUUGUCCCCCAAAUUUCAGAAGCCCAGUUCUUCUAGUAGCUUUAGUGUUUGCAGAUACUGCCUAUUGUUUAACAGAAGGGCUGUGGUCCUGAAACAGGUAACUGGUUUUUCCAGGUUCCUUAAAAACAGCUAUAAUCAGCUACUGGCUGGGAGAUAUCCUUGAAUAAUUAUCUUAAGAGCCUUCAGUGUUCUACUCAGUAUUGGAACAUCCAGAAUGGCAGCAACUUUUGUGUUUUUCAUAAAUGUUAUAUCAUUUUUAGAAAAACCUUAACAUCAUUUUAAAACAUGCCUUCAAAAGUACCUUUCUCAAAUUAUUUUUGGCUCUAUUUAUUUUUGUAUUUCACUAAGCAUGAUAAAGUAGACAGUUAAAUGAAACAAAGCAAAAUAUCAACAGUCCCUUAAAAGAGAACUCUUAUCUUUGAUUUAAUGUAUGUGGUGGAGAGUUUUGUGUCUGUCCUGUUGUAUCCCACAAUGCUCAUUCUUCAUUUGAAGUUCAAAUUUGUCAUAGCAGCUGUUCCCCUCCCUAACCUUCCUACCACCAUUGUCUUCGUUGUUUGAUCCUUAGUGGCUGAUUGACUUAGCUUUUUUCUGGUUCCCUUUCUGUGUUCUCUAUCUUGGUUCUAGCCAUCCAGUUUGAAAACACUGUUCUGGCCCUAAGGGCUUUUGUGUACUUCCAAAGCUUAAUAGUCUCUGACCUUGACUGUUGAGGCUGUUUUGGUAGGGAAGCCUUAAACAUUUAAAAAAAAACAAAAACAAAAAAACUCUCGAAUAAAUGUGUGUUGUUUACAUAUAUACAAAUAUGUAUUCACACACCAGUGCUUUUAAAGGAAAACCAAACAUUUUCUUUGUUUUGCCUUGUGCAGGUUUUAUUUUUUAAAGUUUGAAAAGAAACCUAUCUAUAUACAGCACAGUAGAUAAUAAUAGCUCAUUGCUUAUAUUGUUUUAGCGAAAGUAUUUAAUUUUUAAAUUAUGUGUAAUUUAUCUAAUUUGUAUUUAUCUAUUCAUUUGUUUAAUGUGUUGUAAUUAACACUCUCAUUCACCUGACUUACCCCAGAACAGAUUAAGCUCUUGAAAACCAAGUUUCUCUUUGCCAAAAAUGAUGUUUUCUACCAAGAAGCAAAUGAAAAUGUUAGGAUAAGUCCCUCUUGUGUUUAUGGAAGAUCAGCAUGUCUGUCUUUAAGUAGUUUUGAGUCAGGAGUUUGUAGUGUGUCACAUCAUAUUGGUUUAUAGGACUUUUUAAAAAUGGUGUUAAGAACUUUUAAAUCUGACUUAAUAUUGAAAGGAAUCUGUUCACCAGUUUAGGAAAGAGGGGUGGGUUUACAUUAAACUGUUUUAAGUUUAAGCCUUUGAAAGACUGCCAUCUAGUGGCGUCAAAGGGUACUUUCUGUAGUUGUUUUUACAGGGAAAGCAGUCUGGCUGUGUAUUUUGCUUAGGGCAUAAUUUUGGCCUCUCUACAUGUGUAAAUACCUCUUUUGGGAAAAACAGGACCGCCUCAUAAUAUUUGCUUGACUAUGAAUGGGUGACCUUAGAAAUAAGGAGUUAAUCUGAGGAGUCCUAUCCCCAGGGACAAAAUCUCUAAUAAUUUUGAAGGUGGAAAAGCAGCAGCAAGGACUACAGUGGCAUUUUAGCUCUGUAAGUCAGAUAUUAAAAACUUACAUCAAAAUUAUUUUAUAUGGAUGUUUAUCAUGUUUAUUGAGAAUUUAAAAUAUUUACUAUUUUCACACUCUGAUGGUUACCUGUUGAAUUUUAGGAGAACCAGGGUUGCAGUUUGGGUUGUUGUAUGCUUAAAUUUUAAAGUACAGCUACUCUGUGAAUCUAGAAGGUGUAGUAAAUUGCUUUGUAUAGAGAAGAUCGCAGGGGGCUCAGUCCAGCUUCUAUAAAAGGGGCUAGAACAUUGUCCUAGGAAGCUUUUGUUGCUAAUUAGAAGAGGGAAAGAAUCAGUUGCUAAAUUCCCACAUUUCAGUCUUGUAAGCUGGUUAACUGUAGCUGUGGUAUGUGGUAGUUAGAUCUUGGAUAGGAGGAAUUUCCAGUUAAGAUUCUGGAGGAGAGGGACGCCUGGGUGGCUCAGUCAGUUAAGCAUCUGACUUCAGCGCAGGUCAUGAUCUCACAGUUCAUGGGUUCAAGCCCUCGUCAGGCUCUAUGCUGACAGCUCAGAGCCUGGAGCCUGCUUUGGAUUCUGUGUCUCCCUCUCUCUCUGCCCCUCCCCCAAGUGCGCUCUCUCUCUCUCUCUCUCUCUCUCUCUCUCAAAAAUAAACAUUAAAAAAAAAGAUUCUGGAGGAGAGCUUCUAUUAUUAGGUCACAAAGACUUAGUCACAUCAUGGAAAUGGACUCCAUAAGUUCUACAAUAGCACUCCCAAACGGAUUCCCUUGAGGUGGUCUGCUGAAAAACGAGUCCAUUGAGCAAAUUUGGAAAAUGUUACAUGUUCCUCUCCUGCUUGAGGAUGACAAGAGAUUAUGAACAUUAAAGACUCUGAACCGUCCUUCAGUGAAAAAAAGGAAAACCAUUUAACUUUAACCCUGCUUUGCCCAAAUUAACUAUAUUUUAAACUUAAUAUCCUUUGGGAAAAGGCAACUUGGGAAAAUACUUUGUCCCAGGUUGCUAUAAUUAGAGUAGUUAAGAAUAGAAUUAAGAUCUCUUUUCUCAUCAGUUGUUGGAGAGAAUAUGGUUCAAAAUCAGAAAAAUUUCAUUUUAACCUGUGGAUAAAUGCUGGACUAAACAGAAUUGUGUGUGUGUGUGUGUGUGGGAUGUGUUUCAUAGCACCUUGAUCUUCUUAAAUCAGGUUGUGGUAACUGUUUGGGAGCAGAAUUUAUUCUGUGUUGUGUUGAGCUGAUAGCUAAAAAACCUUAAACAAGAUUACUUGUAAAAGAAAAGGCCUAAGAGACUAGUGGCUAAAGGCCUAAGAGACUAGAGCUUAUGGCUCUGUGGGCGGUGAGUUCAAGACAUUGAUUCUCAAUUUCCAAAUGUGUAGUCAGUGAACAUUUUGUAAAUACUUUUAUAUAGGACAUCAUAUUUGGAUCUGAUUGCUGUUAUCUUUUAAGGUAGGAACCAGAUAACAUCUUGGAUUGAAUAGGGAGGUAGGCAAACUAUUUGAAGUUGGGUUUUUGUUUUGAACAACAGACUUUUGAGACACUUUUGUAACCUCAAGUGUUUGCGUUCCUUGAUAUUAGCCAAAUAUAAGAAGAAUAUAGGAGCCUAAAUUAAUCAGAAGUAAUGGUAUUUCUGUGUCAGGAAAUUGGCUGUAUGUAGUACAGACAAUUCUCCAUUUUCUGCAAAUAGGGUUCCCGUAAUAGUCACAUAAUUGUGGGCUUGCUUUUUCUUAUUCUCUAGCCAGUUUGUACUCAGGGAACAUAAACUGGUUUUUUAUAGUAGAUGAGACAUAAUUGAGAAAAUAAUCAUAAAAAAAAGUUACAGGUUUUUUGACUGUUUGAAUUUGUUGCUUCUAAUGUGCAGUAUGCGCAGUUAAUAUAAGCACUGUAUCUUCCAUUUAUAAAGUAGAAAAGCUUAGAAUGUGCCUACCAUGGACACUGUAUCUUUGUCUAUUCACUGGUUAAGAAUUUAAAUCCUGGUAAUGGCUGUGAAAUCUCAAUAUCUAAAUGCUAAACAUCUUCACAGUUUUGUCCGUUUUCGUGUUUAAAGAACUCCACCUUUUCAUUCUGGCAUUUCUUUACCUGGUCAUUCUGUCACUCUGUGGCUUUUUAAAUGGGGAAUGUAAUUUAUUUUAAUAAUUCUCAGAGGCUCUAUUAGAAACUCUGGAUGAGGGAUAUGUGCAAUGUUAGUAAGUCACACCUAUGUUGACCUCAGUUUGUAGCCUCUAAAGUGGGAGGAAAAGACUAAAAGGCCUCUGAGGUACCUUUGAGCUUUAAAGUUCUGUCUCUGCCUUUUUUUUAUGUGAUUUGUGUUAGUGUUCCCUUUGUAUAUAUUUAGGGGUUUUAUAGUGUGAAUGUUCUGUAUUUGUUCCGUGAAUCAUUUUAAAGGUAAAUACUUGAAAAAAAAAAUUAAUAUAACUGCCCUCUGGAAUACAAAUGGCAAAAAUCAUACAGAAAACCAAACAUCAUAUGCACUUAGCAUAAGCAAAAUAUGACUAAUUUGAAGUGUUGGAAGUGUUCCAAACAUUUUUAUAGUGACUUUUAGAUCCCCAGACCAUAUCUAUUAACUUAUUUAGUACAUUACAGUAACCUUGCGAGGUAACCAUUUUCCAGAUGAGGAAGCAGGACCACAGAGCCCUUCAGAAAGCUUUAAUGCCAUACAUGUAUUCAGCGAUGAUCAUGGCUCUGUGUAUGCCACCUGCCUCCAGGGGAGACCCGGUGACUCACUGAAACAUCUGAGUAGCUGAGUAAUAAAGAUAAAUCAGAUAGAUUGCUUUUGAGUCUUAGAGUGACAUAAAAUAGUCUUAAUUGAAUAUUUCUUAGUUUAAUUAUUUGAACUGGUUGAUUGUACUAACUAAAUUAUCUGAAGUAUUUAUGAUUAGCAUAUUGAUAUUUAAAAGUACUUCUGAGUUAUUGAGGUGCUUACAAAAUACUAGAAAAACUUUUAGGCAUGAAUCAUUUUACUUAGAUAAUUCUAAGUAGCACAAUCUUUUAUAAAAAGGAAGACUGGCCCCGGCCCCUAACUUAACUUAUCAUAGUUUUUGACUGAUAUCUGAAUUGGGCUUCCCUAAAUUUCAUAUACAGGUUGAUAAUUUUUCAUUUUGUAUGUGUAUUUAGAUGAUUAACACUAUUUUCAUAGAGUAUGUUUCUAUUCACAGACUACCUAAUUAUGGGCUUGAUAGUCUCCCAGAUCUUACAGAACUUUAAAAUGUAAUUUGUUUGGUGAGCUUUCAAAAGAUAUGUUCCUUAAACAAGUUGCUGGCAUCCUUACUAGCUCUUCCACAUAUAAUCGUGAUACAUUUGAUGCCACUGAACAGAAAUAGCACGAAUAAUAGCACUCACAGUCUAGACUGGCUUGCGUUUGAAUUGAACUUUUUCAGCCACGACCUGAUAAGAAUCAGGCUAGGUCUCAAAGUUAGCAAGCAGACUGUGGGCUUUUAGUAUCCCCUCGUACAGCAGUGCCAGCUUGUGGCCAUGACUGUGAUGUGACUUUCAGUAAUUACCGUUUCUAUCGAAAGCAGUUUAGCUCUUAGGGAAGUAGCUUACGAUGAUUCGGACAAGCAAGGUAGGUAAAUUACAUUUAAAGUGCAAUUAAGGAAACCCUAGAGUAGUGUGUUUUUUCCCAGGACAAAAACUUCAGUAUUUGUAGAAUAUCCUAGCAUGGAAAUUUUUCUGAACGUAGAUAGAAUUUUGAGGAGGUUCAUACAUGUGACUUUUUUGAAGGUUAACUACUGUGUGUUGAUUAAAAAUUUCAAGAAGGAAUAGGAAUGUUCUCUUCAAGGAGAACUGCAUAGUUAAUUUUUUGCUGCUAACGUAAGCAUUUAUUUUUCACGGCCAAAAAUGCCUUUGCAGUUAGUUUUGUUAAAAAGAAAGGCCAUUCUUCAAGAUCGAUGACAUUUUCCGGGAUGGAAAAAGACCUAGAUCCAUUGUUGUAAACAAAUACACCUUAAUUGUGCCUUCUCAAAUUAGAGGAAUAGUCAUAAUGAGUCAAAAAUUUGAACUAUCUUUUUUCUAAUUCCUCUCCUCUUUCCUUCCAUCUGCCCUUCACAGAUGGUUACUUUGCUUUUUUGCCUGUUUGUUUUCAGGCUCCUGUGGCCAGGCCUUCCCCUGUCAGAAGCUGUUCACUGGAUGUAUUUUUCUAUUCCUUUUACAUUGCUUUACUUUUUAAGUCACUUUGGCAAAACGUUGGCUGCUUUCUCAUGUUUUUAAAAUUAAUAGCAAUCUUUAUAUUUCAGCCCUUUAACAUGUUUGUGAAGGCAAGAAAUAGUGCAGAGCAAAGAACAAAAAUCUAAUUUGGAAUCUGAUUCUCGGUUUGGUUGUGUUUUCUCAUCUACAAAAUGUGGACAAUAACCUACCUCACAGACGUGUGAGAAACUGAAGGCCCUCACUUAAAUACAGGGUUUAUCAUCCUAUUUAAGGUAGGAUCCCUUCCUUUUUUUUUUUUUUUUUUUUUUUUAAAUAGGUAUCUUUGAUACUGAUGGGAUGAGUAUCUUGAUUUUAGCUAAGUCUUAUGUGGUAAGAAAAAAUGUUUAAGACCACAGUUAUACCAACAUACCAAAUUAUGGUAUUUUAAGUGACUUAAAAUUUCCUGAAAAUAUCAAAUACUCAAAUGUCGAAUUUGUCUUUUGUGGCAACAUGUAUUCAGAACUUCUUAAAAUGUUGGCUGAAUCUGCCUUAAUCUACCAAAACACAGCUUUCUUUCAAGACUGUUCACAAAUAUGUAUGGCUGUAUAAUGUUUUGUGUGUUUAAUGUAAAAUUGUUAGAGAACUGUGACCUCUAAGCAUAGUAAUCUAAAAAACGUUUUAAGAAGAACUCCUGUGUUCUUUGUCAUAUAUGCUGAAAUAUCAUACAGUGGGUUUUAAGUGCAACAAAUAAAACUGAAAGUUGAUAGCCAUUAGGUUAUGACCAUGACAAUCAAGAAAAUACAAGAUUGCUAUUAUUCCAAAAAAUUUUAAGAGUAUCCUGUGUUCAUUCUUGCCUAGCCUAUCUUUGAAAAAGACAAAAAAAAAAAUCCCAUUGACUGACACAUUGACCUGUUGAAGCACUUGGUAACCUAUUAAAAAAUCUUUUUAAAA